rnacentral:rRNA from 1 species
CACGUAGGGGGCGAGCGUUGUCCGGAUUUAUUGGGCGUAAAGAGCUCGUAGGCGGUUUCGUAAGUCGGAUGUGAAAACUCCAGGCUCAACUUGGAGACGCCAUUCGAUACUGCGAUGACUUGAGUCCGGUAGGGGAGUGUGGAAUUCCUGGUGUAGCGGUGAAAUGCGCAGAUAUCAGGAGGAACACCGAUGGCGAAGGCAGAUCUCUGGGCCAUUACUGACGCUGAGGAGCGAAAGCGUGGGGAGCGAACAGG